CGUAAUCACUUGUCCCCUAAAUAGGGACCAGUAUGAAUGGCUGCAUGAGGACCAAACUGUCUCCUUUUGACCAAUCAAUGAACCUGAUCUCUCAGUACAAAAGCUGAGAUAAGACCAUAAGACGAGAAGACCCUGUGGAGCUUAAAAUACCGCUACUAACCAAUCUUUUCCCCCACCAAGGCUCACACAACCAAAAUAGUACACAUUUUUAGUUGGGGCGACUACGGAACCAAACAAAACUUCCACGCCACGAGGCCCCUCCCCCUCCCCACCAGGUCAACAAACCAACACCAACCUUGACCCAGUAAUACUGACCAACGAACCAAGUUACCCCAGGGAUAACAGCGCCAUCCUCUUCCAGAGCCCUUAUCGCCAAGAGGGUUUACGACCUCGAUGUUGGAUCAGGACCCCCAGGUGGUGCAACCGCUACCAACGGUUCGUUUGUUCAACGAUUAAUAGUCCUACGUGAU
rnacentral:rRNA from 1 species